AUCAACUCAAAUUUGACUCAGUCUACUCAUUUAAUACCUCUCUCUGAUCAUUUACACUUUUACCUCUAUUUAUAUUAAUUUUCAAGUUUAUCUCUCAAACAUAUAUGCUAAAUAUAAGUUGGACUUAAAGCCGUAUACAACUAAAUAAACUUUAUCUCCUUAUGGUAAGAGGCUCGCUUAGGUAAAAGGUAAGAAUAGAAAAAGAGUGCACGAAAAACAUUGAUAAGAAGGUGGAGAGUAUUAUCAUAUAUCUCUCUGACCCUCUUUUCUUAUAUAUUCCCUACUCACCCUAACUUUCAACCCCAAAAACCAAAAGCAAUCAUCAUGUUUUCUGAAUCAUCACCACCACCAAGAAGAACAAAACCUUACUACUUCUUUCACCGCCGUCAUCAUUGUUCCCACCACCAACUUCCUAAUACUUAUUUCAAAAAGACAUCAUCAUUAUUCUCACUACCACCACCACCUUAUUCAAGGAAGAAGAACAAUAAUAUUCGUCAGAAAAAACGUGGUGGUGGACAUGAUGUUUUUGUUCGUGAGGAUAAUGAUGAUGACACUGAUGAACAUGUACACAAGAGUAUAGUAUUAAUUUGGCAAGAGACGUUUGAAUGAACGACUCUAGCUAAAAGUCACUUUUUUUCCUUUGUGGGGGAAUCAAGCUUCUUGGUCCGAUCUCUUUGCUAUUUCAAGCAAAGUCAUCACUUUUUACUUAAUUAUAUACAACCUGCCUAGCUACCUACUAGAUCUUCUUGUUGGAUACAAAAAUUACUUGGUCAAGGAAGAGAAAGAACAAGGAUUUGUGAACCGCUAGCUAGCUGCAGGUGGAAACAACCAACUGAUAUACUAUUUUGUUGGAGCUGAUGAAGAGGAAAGCAAGGGGAAGCUGCUUAUAUAUUAUGACUACCUACAAGCUGAAAAGUUGGUUGUUGUACGUUUCAUAUUGCCCAUAGUUAGUUGUAAAUAGCAUGAUUGUACUCGACCAUCAUCAUUAUUCCCUAGCUUAUGACUACCCGCUGUCAACAGUUUUUUGUCAUGCAUAAUUCGCACCGUUCAUAUACACAUCAAAAUAUCUCAAGGGAUUAAUUUUAAAGCUUAAAUUUUGUGUACACAUUGUAUAAAAUAUUUUACAAUCAUUAGGUAAAAUUAAUAAAAUUGACUUGCUAUUGCAAGUUACCCAUUCUUUCCUAAUGUAUUUUUGUCCUUUUCUAAAAUUAAAUAACUUUGCUUGGCUCAUUAUCUCCGGGAAACUCCCAUUGUAACUCAGUCUCUGAUCUGAACCUGUUAAUUGAGCCGAGUCAAGUCGAAUCAGCCCGGUUAGACCAGUCAAAAAUGUUAUCCGAACCAGUCUGACCCGGAAUCGGUAGGUUUGGGGGGUUUGGAGUUGGGUUCUGGUGAUGGGUCAUCUGGUUCAAGGAGUCCAGUGGAUCGGUCUAGUUAUAAAACGGAUCAGGUCCACUGGUGCAUCAGACUGACCCCAUUAAUUU